CUUCACCGGAAAAGAAACGUUGACCUCGGAUUCAUUAACCAAUGAGAGAGAAGCUGAAUUUGCCGGUGGACGGAUCAGCUUUGUGUCAGGUCGACUACUGUAUCUGCCUCUCGUUAAGCACAGGUCAGAAGCAGGUGUCAAAUGCCAUUGCAUUGAAGAAAGAGUUGUGAAAUGAGUGGAAGAAGGAGGGGGCAGCCCAACAGAGGUGGAGGGCGAUUUAACAAGCCCCGAGGAGGAGGGAGAGGAAGAG